rnacentral:rRNA from 1 species
GGGUUGUGAGGUUAAGCGACUAAGCGUACACGGUGGAUGCCCUGGCAGUCAGAGGCGAUGAAGGACGUGCUAAUCUGCGAUAAGCGUCGGUAAGGUGAUAUGAACCGUUAUAACCGGCGAUUUCCGAAUGGGGAAACCCAGUGUGAUUCGACACACUAUCAUUAACUGAAUCCAUAGGUUAAUGAGGCGAACCGGGGGAACUGAAACAUCUAAGUACCCCGAGGAAAAGAAAUCAACCGAGAUUCCCCCAGUAGCGGCGAGCGAACGGGGAGCAGCCCAGAGCCUGAAUCAGUGUGUGUGUUAGUGGAAGCGUCUGGAAAGGCGCGCGAUACAGGGUGACAGCCCCGUACACAAAAAUGCACAUGCUGUGAGCUCGAUGAGUAGGGCGGGACACGUGGUAUCCUGUCUGAAUAUGGGGGGACCAUCCUCCAAGGCUAAAUACUCCUGACUGACCGAUAGUGAACCAGUACCGUGAGGGAAAGGCGAAAAGAACCCCGGCGAGGGGAGUGAAAAAGAACCUGAAACCGUGUACGUACAAGCAGUGGGAGCACAGAGCAAUCUGUGUGACUGCGUACCUUUUGUAUAAUGGGUCAGCGACUUAUAUUCUGUAGCAAGGUUAACCGAAUAGGGGAGCCGAAGGGAAACCGAGUCUUAACUGGGCGUUAAGUUGCAGGGUAUAGACCCGAAACCCGGUGAUCUAGCCAUGGGCAGGUUGAAGGUUGGGUAACACUAACUGGAGGACCGAACCGACUAAUGUUGAAAAAUUAGCGGAUGACUUGUGGCUGGGGGUGAAAGGCCAAUCAAACCGGGAGAUAGCUGGUUCUCCCCGAAAGCUAUUUAGGUAGCGCCUCGUGAAUUCAUCUCCGGGGGUAGAGCACUGUUUCGGCAAGGGGGUCAUCCCGACUUACCAACCCGAUGCAAACUGCGAAUACCGGAGAAUGUUAUCACGGGAGACACACGGCGGGUGCUAACGUCCGUCGUGAAGAGGGAAACAACCCAGACCGCCAGCUAAGGUCCCAAAGUCAUGGUUAAGUGGGAAACGAUGUGGGAAGGCCCAGACAGCCAGGAUGUUGGCUUAGAAGCAGCCAUCAUUUAAAGAAAGCGUAAUAGCUCACUGGUCGAGUCGGCCUGCGCGGAAGAUGUAACGGGGCUAAACCAUGCACCGAAGCUGCGGCAGCGACGCUUAUGCGUUGUUGGGUAGGGGAGCGUUCUGUAAGCCUGCGAAGGUGUGCUGUGAGGCAUGCUGGAGGUAUCAGAAGUGCGAAUGCUGACAUAAGUAACGAUAAAGCGGGUGAAAAGCCCGCUCGCCGGAAGACCAAGGGUUCCUGUCCAACGUUAAUCGGGGCAGGGUGAGUCGACCCCUAAGGCGAGGCCGAAAGGCGUAGUCGAUGGGAAACAGGUUAAUAUUCCUGUACUUGGUGUUACUGCGAAGGGGGGACGGAGAAGGCUAUGUUGGCCGGGCGACGGUUGUCCCGGUUUAAGCGUGUAGGCUGGUUUUCCAGGCAAAUCCGGAAAAUCAAGGCUGAGGCGUGAUGACGAGGCACUACGGUGCUGAAGCAACAAAUGCCCUGCUUCCAGGAAAAGCCUCUAAGCAUCAGGUAACAUCAAAUCGUACCCCAAACCGACACAGGUGGUCAGGUAGAGAAUACCAAGGCGCUUGAGAGAACUCGGGUGAAGGAACUAGGCAAAAUGGUGCCGUAACUUCGGGAGAAGGCACGCUGAUAUGUAGGUGAAGUCCCUCGCGGAUGGAGCUGAAAUCAGUCGAAGAUACCAGCUGGCUGCAACUGUUUAUUAAAAACACAGCACUGUGCAAACACGAAAGUGGACGUAUACGGUGUGACGCCUGCCCGGUGCCGGAAGGUUAAUUGAUGGGGUUAGCGCAAGCGAAGCUCUUGAUCGAAGCCCCGGUAAACGGCGGCCGUAACUAUAACGGUCCUAAGGUAGCGAAAUUCCUUGUCGGGUAAGUUCCGACCUGCACGAAUGGCGUAAUGAUGGCCAGGCUGUCUCCACCCGAGACUCAGUGAAAUUGAACUCGCUGUGAAGAUGCAGUGUACCCGCGGCAAGACGGAAAGACCCCGUGAACCUUUACUAUAGCUUGACACUGAACAUUGAGCCUUGAUGUGUAGGAUAGGUGGGAGGCUUUGAAGUGUGGACGCCAGUCUGCAUGGAGCCGGCCUUGAAAUACCACCCUUUAAUGUUUGAUGUUCUAACGUUGACCCGUAAUCCGGGUUGCGGACAGUGUCUGGUGGGUAGUUUGACUGGGGCGGUCUCCUCCUAAAGAGUAACGGAGGAGCACGAAGGUUGGCUAAUCCUGGUCGGACAUCAGGAGGUUAGUGCAAUGGCAUAAGCCAGCUUGACUGCGAGCGUGACGGCGCGAGCAGGUGCGAAAGCAGGUCAUAGUGAUCCGGUGGUUCUGAAUGGAAGGGCCAUCGCUCAACGGAUAAAAGGUACUCCGGGGAUAACAGGCUGAUACCGCCCAAGAGUUCAUAUCGACGGCGGUGUUUGGCACCUCGAUGUCGGCUCAUCACAUCCUGGGGCUGAAGUAGGUCCCAAGGGUAUGGCUGUUCGCCAUUUAAAGUGGUACGCGAGCUGGGUUUAGAACGUCGUGAGACAGUUCGGUCCCUAUCUGCCGUGGGCGCUGGAGAACUGAGGGGGGCUGCUCCUAGUACGAGAGGACCGGAGUGGACGCAUCACUGGUGUUCGGGUUGUCAUGCCAAUGGCACUGCCCGGUAGCUAAAUGCGGAAGAGAUAAGUGCUGAAAGCAUCUAAGCACGAAACUUGCCCCGAGAUGAGUUCUCCCUGACUCCUUGAGAGUCCUGAAGGAACGUUGAAGACGACGACGUUGAUAGGCCGGGUGUGUAAGCGCAGCGAUGCGUUGAGCUAACCGGUACUAAUGAACCGUGAGGCUUAACCUUACAACGCCGAAGCUGUU